rnacentral:rRNA from 1 species
AGCAGCCGCGGUAAUUCCAGCUCCAAUAGCGUAUAUUAAAGUUGUUGCAGUUAAAAAGCUCGUAGUUGAAUUUCGGGAUCAAUAUGUUGGUCGUGCCAUUGGUACGUACUGGCAUUAUUGGUUUCUACCUUCUGAAGAACCUCGAUGUCAUUAAUUUGGUGUCUUGGGAAAUCAGGACUGUUACUUUGAAAAAAUUAGAGUGUUUAAAGCAAGCUCGCGCUUGAAUACAUUAGCAUGGAAUAAUGAAAUAGGACGUUUGAUUCUAUUUUGUUGGUUUCUAGGAUCGACGUAAUGAUUAAUAGGGAUAGUUGGGGGCAUUAGUAUUCAAUUGUCAGAGGUGAAAUUCUUGGAUUUAUUGAAGACUAACUACUGCGAAAGCAUUUGCCAAGGAUGUUUUCAUUAAUCAAGAACGAAAGUUAGGGGAUCGAAGACGAUCAGAUACCGUCGUAGUCUUAACCAUAAACUAUGCCGACUAGGGAUCGGAUGAUGUUAAUUUUUUAAUGACUCAUUCGGCGCCUUACG